GUAGGAGGCAAGCGUUAUCCGGAUUUACUGGGCGUAAAGCGCAUGCAGGCUGUUUCUUAAGUCGGACGUGAAAGCUCCUGGCUCAACUGGGAGAGGUCGUUCGAAACUAGGGAACUUGAGGAUGGUAGAGGAGAGUGGAAUUCCCGGUGUAGUGGUGAAAUGCGUAGAUAUCGGGAGGAACACCAGUGGCGAAGGCGGCUCUCUGGGCCAUUCCUGACGCUAAGAUGCGAAAGCUAGGGGAGAGAACGGGGGAUUAGAAACCCCGGUAUUCCUAGCCGUAAACGAUGUCAACUAGGUGUAGGGGGUAUCCCAACCCCCGUCUGUGCUGCAGCUAACGCGUUAAGUUGACCGCCUGGGGGACUACGGCCGCAAGGCUA
rnacentral:rRNA from 1 species